AUUGUCUUAAAAUUUUUAAGUAAUUUUGAAGAAUAUGAUAAUUGUAAUAAGUUUAAAAUUCCCCAACUGUCUGCUUUUUAAAAAUAAGAAAACUUGCCAUUUAUGCAACAAACAGGUAAAAUACAAUUGAUAUUUCCCAUAGAAAACAGUCAGUUUUAUAUUGACUUAUUGGGUUCACCAGGUGUUAAUCCUACAUUUUCCCCUUAGGGGAAGAAAAUGUCUAUAAUAAUGAAAUAAAUAGUUUCUUUC
rnacentral:lncRNA from 1 species